rnacentral:tRNA from 1 species
GCCGGAGUGAUGAAAUGGCAGCCAUGCGAGAUUCAAAAUCUCGUGCCCGCAAGGGCGUGUGGGUUCGAAUCCCACCUCCGGUACCA